GGGAGAUGCGGCUCGUAGGCCUGCACAUGUACGGCACACUGGCACUGGGGAGUCAUUAUAUGUCAGUAAGGAGCAAUCAUUAGAGAGAGGCUGUCUUCUCUUGCCAGGACAUUGCUCUAAUAAGAAGCAGAGGAAGCUUCCAGUGUUUUUACUGUUAUUAGACUCUGGAUCCACGGAAAUGUUGACAGGUCUGCAAGAAGAAGCACAGACUUUUGAAGCCUGCUGUUUGAUGAUUGUUUAAGCCCUAAGAGAUCCAAUGAACAGGUGUCACCUCUCUGAAGAGUUACAAAGUGCCAUUGUGAUUGGAUUGAUGGAAGAGUACAUAUGAUGAGGAAUUCCCGUACCAGUCAGCUGAACUAAAGAAGCUGCUCGGAUGAGUAGUGAAACGUCUUCAAUGAUUACCUAACAAGUCCAGUUGCUUUAAAUUU